GUUUCCUCCUUGCUGUUUGCAGCUGCCAUGAACUGCGGCCCAGCCAUGCCAGCCUGCCUUGGAGCCAACUGAGUAUGGACUGAAACCUCCAAAAACUUUGCAGGAGGAAUGAGUCAUGGAGAUCUGUUCACACCAUGCGGACCACACCUCACACAGCUAUGGAUGAGGAGGUUUUCUUUCUUCUUUUGAACAAAGAAUGUUCUUUCAAGAUAAGGAGGUUGAUGAAGAAAUUCUCCACUGGACACAAAGAAGAUCUGAAGAGAUGCACUGUGUGUGUCUCCCUCUGGCGGAAGACAGGAGAAUUUCACUGCUAAGCAUGUUACCUGUCUCAUGCUGUCAUCUUCAGAGUAGCUUUCCUUUGAAAAAAGUGAAAAAUCAGGAUGAUCAAACAGAAUUUAAACUUCUCUACUACUGUCAAAAAUGAAAACUUUGUCCAAUGAUAUACGACUUCAGCAGAGCACCUGUCUGGCAAUUUGAGGCUGUGACUUUGAUCAUUGGUAGCAGAAAAAAAAUGAAGAUGAUGUUUAAUGACUAUAGUAAAUAACUUUCUAUAAGAAUAGGAAUUGUUUGUAAAACAACAGACAAUAAAAAUGUAUUAAAACCUCUGAGAAAUUACACACACCAUUAUUUUCUGUAAAAGGUGAAACCAUGAGAAAGAAACCAAAUUCACAAAAAUAUUAGAUGUUCAUUAAAGAUAUUUUAUUCACUUUACUGACACCACAAGUAAAGUGGACAGAAAUAGUUUCAAAGAUUUUUAGGAAAUCCUAACAUAUUAAGUCCUGAAAAACACAGGGUAACAAAGGCUGAAAUCUUUGACAGAGUAAGAAAAUAGGGCUGGAAAUGUACAAAAUCAAAAAUACUGACCCAGGAUAAAAUGGAAAUGGAAGACAGAUCAAUACUGUAAUCCUCUACUGAACUGCAAACUUUGAGAAGAUGCAUGUAAUGAAUAAAGCAUAUUUAUUUGACAAAUCA